rnacentral:hammerhead_ribozyme from 1 species
CAAUGCUGACGAGUCCCAAACAGGACGAAACAACUGUUCAGUGC